GGCAGGAGAGGCUUGGGGGCCUCGUGGAUUGGGAAGAUGGCGGCCACCCGGGUUUCUUCGAUCGAUCUGCGAUCUGGACAGAGCCACGGCAACGCGGGCGUCGGGUGUAGGCGACUGACCCUCUGCAGCCACGCGUUGACAGUUACCUGUCGAGACUAUAAGAAGAAUUUUGAGGAAGAAUUUGAUCAAGAAGACCAAGAGAGAUGGUUUGCUUUGGAGAGGAAUUAGAUAAGGCCCAUGAGUCCUAAAGAUAAUACAAUCAAUCCAACUGUUAA